ACGGGGCGCAGCAGGCGUGAAACCUUUACAAUGCGGGCAACCGUGGUAAGGGAACCUCGAGUGCCUGUAAACGCAGGCUGUUCAGGUGUUUAAAACGCACCUGGAGAAAGGGCCGGGCAAGACCGGUGCCAGCCGCCGCGGUAAUACCGGCGGCUCGAGUGGUGGCCGCUUUUAUUGGGCUUAAAGCGUUCGUAGCUGGGUUGUUAAGUCUCUUGGGAAAUCUGGCGGCUUAACUGUCAGGCGUCUAAGGGAUACUGGCAAUCUUGGAACCGGGAGAGGUGAGGGGUACUUCGGGGGUAGGGGUGAAAUCCUGUAAUCCUCGAGGGACCACCUGUGGCGAAGGCGCCUCACCAGAACGGCUUCGACAGUGAGGGACGAAAGCUGGGGGAGCAAACCGGAUUAGAUACCCGGGUAGUCCCAGCCGUAAACGAUGCGCGUUAGGUGUAUCGGUGACCACGAGUUACCGAGGUGCCGAAGGGAAACCGUGAAACGUGCCGCCUGGGAAGUACGGUCGCAAGGCUGAAACUUAAAGGAAUUGGCGGGGGAGCACA
rnacentral:rRNA from 1 species